rnacentral:rRNA from 1 species
CAGUCGCCACGGUAACACGGAGGGUGCAAGCGUUAAUCGGAAUUACUAGGCGUAAAGCGCACGCAGGCGGUCUGACAAGUCAGAUGUGAAAUCCCCGGGCUUAACCUGGGAACUGCAUUUGAAACUGUCAGGCUGGAGUCUUGUAGAGGGGGGUGGAAUUCCAGGUGUAGCGGUGAAAUGCGUAGAGAUCUGGAGGAAUACCGGUGGCGAAGGCGGCCCCCUGGACAAAGACUGACGCUCAGGUGCGAAAGCGUGGGGAGCAAACAGGAUUAGAUACCCGGGUAGUCCCUGUCUCUUAUAC